rnacentral:tRNA from 1 species
GGAGAGUUAGCUCAGUCGGUAGAGCGCUACGUUGACAUCGUAGAGGUCGCUGGUUCGAUCCCAGUACUGUCCACCA